rnacentral:rRNA from 1 species
GACGAACGCUGGCGGCGUGCUUAACACAUGCAAGUCGAACGAAGUGGCGAACGGGUGAGUAACGCGUAAUCAACCUGCCCUUCAGAGGGGGACAACAGUUGGAAACGACUGCUAAUAACGCAUACUGAAGGCGGGGAUUGCGUCUGAUUAGCUAGUUGGAGGGGUAACGGCCCACCAAGGCGAUGAUCAGUAGCCGGUCUGAGAGGAUGAUCGGCCAAACUGGGACUGAGACACGGCCCAGACUCCUACGGGAGGCAGCAGUAGGGAAGCUUCGGCAAUGGGGGGAACCCUGACCGAGCAACGCCGCGUGAGUGAUGACGGCCUUCGGGUUGUAAAGCUCUGUUAAUCGGGACGCGGUACCGGAAUAGAAAGCCACGGCUAACUACGUGCCAGCAGCCGCGGUAAUAC